GUUUGAAAUAGAAAUGUACAUAUAACAUUUUGAUCAUGUCACUACUUCAGCACUGGACACUAAUUGAUUGGAUCUUUCAGUAAACUUACGGACAGACAAUAUUGGUGAAACUGUAUAUUAUUAACGAUGAAAACGUGUUCCAGGAAUUAGGCAUUGGCAUAAACGAAUGAAAAUUCAUCCAAAGGAGUGGCGUAGGAUCCUAAAGGAACAUUCAAACUCGAAACGUCGAAAAUAAACCUACAAUGAAAUGACUAUUCACAAGAGACAAAAGACCGUCGAUGAUUAAACAACUGUAGGUCACGGGCUUCUUCAACAAUCAUGAUAACAAACAAAACUGCAAAGUAGGCCUUGCGAGACACAAUAUGAAAUAAUUCAAAUGAGAAAUUAACGGCCUGAUUUUAGUUGAUGAAUAAAUGAAAAUCAAAACGGUAGACACCAACUCUUAAAGUACUGAUUGGUCUCUCAUUUGAAUUUUACUGUAUUUUGUCUCACCGGGUCCAACUAUGCGGUUUGUUUUCUAUCAUUGUUGCAUAAGCCUAUAUGGUGAACUAUAGUUGUUUAAUAUAUCGCCGACUUUUGUCUAUGGCGAAUAGUCAUGUGAUUGUCAAUGAUAUAACAUCUACUUAUUCUUCAUUCUACCAUUUUUUACAUAAGAAAAUGCCUGUACC
rnacentral:lncRNA from 1 species